UACAGAGGUCUCAAGCGUUGUUCGGAUUCAUUGGGCGUAAAGGGUGCGUAGGCGGCGCGGUAAGUCGGGUGUGAAAUCUUGGAGCUUAACUCCGAAACUGCAUUCGAUACUGCCGUGCUUGAGGACUGGAGAGGAGACUGGAAUUUACGGUGUAGCAGUGAAAUGCGUAGAGAUCGUAAGGAAGACCAGUGGCGAAGGCGAGUCUCUGGACAGUUACUGACGCUGAGGCACGAAGGCCAGGGGAGCAAACAGG
rnacentral:rRNA from 1 species